GACGAACGCUGGCGGCGUGCCUAAUACAUGCAAGUUGAGCGCUGAAGGUUGGUACUUGUACCAACUGGAUGAGCAGCGAACGGGUGAGUAACGCGUGGGGAAUCUGCCUUUGAGCGGGGGACAACAUUUGGAAACGAAUGCUAAUACCGCAUAAAAACUUUAAACACAAGUUUUAAGUUUGAAAGAUGCAAUUGCAUCACUCAAAGAUGAUCCCGCGUUGUAUUAGCUAGUUGGUGAGGUAAAGGCUCACCAAGGCGAUGAUACAUAGCCGACCUGAGAGGGUGAUCGGCCACAUUGGGACUGAGACACGGCCCAAACUCCUACGGGAGGCAGCAGUAGGGAAUCUUCGGCAAUGGACGAAAGGCUGACCGAGCAACGCCGCGUGAGUGAAGAAGGUUGUCGGAUCGUAAAACUCUGUUGGUAGAGAAGAACGUUGGUGAGAGUGGAAAGCUCAUCAAGUGACGGUAACUACCCAGAAAGGGACGGCUAACUACGUG
rnacentral:rRNA from 1 species